rnacentral:lncRNA from 1 species
ACCUCAAGUUUGGUAUGUUUAAAAGAGUUCCUUUAUAUUUUACCACACACACAAAAGUUCCGUAGUCAAAUUGCCUUAAAAAGAAUAGUGAUUUCUUUUUUUAAUUUUUUUUUUUUUUGAGGAAGAUCAGCCCUGAGCUAACAUCUGCUGCCAAUCCUCCUCUUUUUGCUGAGGAAGACCGGCCUGAGCUCACAUCUGUGCCCAUCUUUCUCUACUUUAUAUGUGGGAUGCCUGCCAUAGCAUGGAUUGCCGAGCAGUGCCAUGUCCGCACUGGGGAUGCGAACCAGGGAAUCCUGGGCUGCCGAAGCGGAAUGUGUGCACUCAACCGCUGCCCCACCGUGCUGGUCCCAGAACGGUGAUUUCUUAAAACUGUUUCUUCAAAACUCGGGAAGCCCCAAAGGCUGAAGGGACGCCACCGAAAGCUGAGGUGGCUAAGAUAGCAGUGAUUUGUUCUGCGGAAGGGAUAACAGUACCCCUGCAAGGGCUGGAGAGAUGUCAGUAUCUCAGAUUGACGCGGAAUUCGAUGUUCUCUCCAACCUGUUCCUCUAAUUGUAAUUAAACUCUGGAGGAGUCAUCUUUUCAAAUGCCAGAAAAUAAGUUAGUGCCCAAGGGAAUGGCAAAGCUGGAAAUGUGACGUGAGUAAUCGCCAGACCAGCUUUUUCUGCUCCAGAACAAAAGAAGGGCUGGGAAGAUGGGAUCAACCGCAAUUCUCAGACGGGAAGCCCUGGUGUUCAUUUCCCCAAGGAAAUAAUUGUUCUGCAUUCUUUGGAUCAUCUGACAAACUGCUUCCUGGUGUAUUGAUUUGCUGCCACACUGAAGAGGAUGAAACAAGGUUAAAUAAAUCACAAGCACCAUUCUACUGGAGUCAAGGUUACAGCAAAGAAAGAAGGAGUUGGUGAAGAUUGAGGAUGUAGACAGCUGCCUAUCCCACUUCUUCUGAAGGUGCCGAACAAUAGACGCUACAGGUGAGAGAAAAAUACAGCUUGGUUGGCACAACCAAUGACCCUUGUACACAGCCCCAAGACACUACAUUUGAUUUUCAGAAUUAAACCAAGUCUUUCCUGAGAUUCGGAAUCAACUUAAUGUUUUUCAUAUCUAGUUUCCAGCUGGAACAAAAUUCCAAAGUGCCGGAAUUCUCAUAAGAAAACUACAUUUGCGAAUAUCCA